rnacentral:rRNA from 1 species
UACGGGGGGGGCAAGCGUUGUUCGGAAUUACUGGGCGUAAAGGGCUCGUAGGUGGCCAACUAAGUCAGACGUGAAAUCCCUCAGCUUAACUGGGGAACUGCGUCUGAUACUGGAUGGCUUGAAUUCGGGAGAGGGAUGCAGAAUUCCAGGUGUAGCGGUGAAAUGCGUAGAUAUCUGGAGGAAUACCGGUGGCGAAGGCGGCAUCCUGGACCGACAUUGACGCUGAGGAGCGAAAGCGUGGGGAGCGAACAGG